AUGGGCGCAAGCCUGAUGCAGCCAUGCCGCGUGUAUGAAGAAGGCCUUCGGGUUGUAAAGCACUUUCAGUCGUGAGGAAGGUAGUGUAGUUAAUAGCUGCAUUAUUUGACGUUAGCGACAGAAGAAGCACCGGCUAACUCCGUGCCAGCAGCCGCGGUAAUACGGAGGGUGCGAGCGUUAAUCGGAAUUACUGGGCGUAAAGCGCAUGCAGGUGGUUUGUUAAGUCAGAUGUGAAAGCCCGGGGCUCAACCUCGGAAUAGCAUUUGAAACUGGCAGACUAGAGUACUGUAGAGGGGGGUAGAAUUUCAGGUGUAGCGGUGAAAUGCGUAGAGAUCUGAAGGAAUACCGGUGGCGAAGGCGGCCCCCUGGACAGAUACUGACACUCAGAUGCGAAAGCGUGGGGAGCAAACAGGAUUAGAUACCCUGGUAGUCCACGCCGUAAACGAUGUCUACUUGGAGGUUGUGGCCUUGAGCCGUGGCUUUCGGAGCUAACGCGUUAAGUAGACCGCCUGG
rnacentral:rRNA from 1 species